ACUUAUUUCUGUUUCAGUCUUUACAACAUGCUGUGUUCAGUCCUUCCAAGCACAACAAAGUCUGAUGAGAGUCCAGGAGGAGCUGUAGCACCACCUGAUGGAUGAUCCAAAGAUGACACUCAAGUGCAAAGACUAAUGACAAAGCGGUUUCAUAUUGAACUAAUUCAGAAAGAGUAACAGUAAAAACAACGGAGCCCCUCACCUCCACACAUAAUGACACACUUUAACUAAAAAGGAGAGAGGGGAUCCAAGUGUGUGGUUUCAGAGUGGCGCAAGGUAUGAGGUGUUCCAGUUAGAGAACAGGCAGCUGGACUUUCCUGGUUAAUGGCAUUUAUUGCUGGAUUUAGGCAUGGACAACAACAAGAGCUGCGGUGAACUGCUGUACUGUAGAUAGCUGUGGGUCUGAAAUAUUACAAACAGUAAUGAUAAAUUGGUGACGCAUUUUCCAUAAGCACAACCACAAUUAAGAAUACUUUUACAGAGAAACAAGAACAUAAAUGCACAUAAUCACAAUAGCACAAAGUGCAAAAUAUUGUGUAUGGCUCAGCAUUUCAACCACAUUAACUCACAUACGUAACAUGACCAGACACAUGCUGAUAAUUGGCGACUUGCAAGGCCAACAGCUAAACUAAUGUCCGUCACAUGAGAUAGCUAUCAAUAAUAUCAAUGAAAGGAAAAAUACAGCUCAGCACAGCUCUUGAAGCAAAACAUGAGCCGAGUCUAAACAUGUACACGGAAGAAAACUAUGGAAAAAAACAGUAACAUUCAGUUUACUCAAUAAAGGAAAUGCACAUAUUAACAUAAACCAGACAACAUUCUACUCAAAAUAUGAGGGCUUUCUAACGUUAUCUUGUCUUUCAUUAGAUCUCAUGAGCUUGUAACAAUAAUGAUUUACCAAACCAAUCCUUAGAUAUAAUUUCUACUCAAAUAAUAAUAAAAAUCUGUAAAACAACAGCAAAUUGUUACAUUAUAUUUGUGAAAAUGCAAGUCCAAAGACUGAAAAAGUGGUUUAAUAUUCAACUAAUUCAGAAAGAUUAUCAAUAAAAACAACGGAGCCUCUCACCUCCACACAUAAUGACACACUUUAACAUGUCUUUCAUUAGAUCUCAUGAGCUUGUACAAGAUUUACUGAACAGCAUUCCUGCCUUCAAACUGCAGUGAACCGAUGACCAUCAUCCUGUCAGCUUGCAGGGUUUGGUUUUCUGUUUCACUCUCCUGCAGAAUUGGUUUCCAGUUUGAUCGUGCAUGACUCCAGUAUUACUACUGGUCAUUGUGUAGCAUAGAGCAGUUUUACAGUGUCGAAGAUGUAGAGUUGUAGGUGAGAUGGUGGUGCUGUCCUGUUAUUAAAAUGGUUUA